AGUGAACGCUGGCGGUAGGCCUAACACAUGCAAGUCGAACGGCAGCACAGUAAGAGCUUGCUCUUACGGGUGGCGAGUGGCGGACGGGUGAGGAAUACAUCGGAAUCUACUUUUUCGUGGGGGAUAACGUAGGGAAACUUACGCUAAUACCGCAUACGACCUACGGGUGAAAGCAGUGGAUCUUCGGACCUUGCGCGAUUGAAUGAGCCGAUGUCGGAUUAGCUAGUUGGCGGGGUAAAGGCCCACCAAGGCGACGAUCCGUAGAUGGUCUGAGAGGAUGAUCAGCCACACUGGAACUGAGACACGGUCCAGACUACUACGGGAGGAAGCAGUGGGGAAUAUUGGACAAUGGGGGAAAGCAUGAUCCAGACAUACCGCGUGGGUGAAGAAGGCCUUCGGGUUGUAAAGCCCUUUUGUUGGGAAAGAAAAGCAGCAGGUUAAUACCCCGCUGUUCUGACGGUACCCAAAGAAUAAGCACCGGCUAACUUCGUG
rnacentral:rRNA from 1 species